UGGCGGGAAAAAAGAAAAGCCUAUUACAGACUACAGAGACCAGUUCCUUCUGGCUUCUUCCACUCCUACUCCCUUGGUUCGCAUUCGUACUCAAGCCAUUCCAUAAAUAUAGACCAAGCUCGAUUUUCCUUCUACUGCUGUUCAACCCAUUAGUCCAAAAUUUCGCCUGAACUUCUCAUUCAGAGGGAAAUAAAAAAGAUGGGAUGGUCUCAUCCAGACAUUUCUCUGGAAGAUCUGCUAAGGUUGAUCAAAGGGUUUGUAGAUAUCUUAAUUCUGGCAUCUGGGUAUCAAUCAUCAGGUCUUCCUGCUAUUUGGGAUGCUCAAAAUGUCAAAAAAGUCGUGAGUUGGGGCAUUUUCUUCGAAAAUGUAUUCAGACGCUUAAGAGGCUUAGAUGGUUAUGAAGACUCAGUGAAGGAAGUUGAUGCAGCUUUACUUGAAAUGACAUCCAAUCCUUAUUUCCCUCAGGGUCUCAAACGUCUGUCAUCUGCAACUCUUAGCAGAGCUAGAUAUUUUGUUUUCCAUCAUCUACUUAAUACCUUACCUUUGAGUGAUGCACAUCUAAGUGCUGUGCUAAGGGCAGCUGUUGAAAUGGAUCUGGAUGACCUUAGAGGAGGAGAGUAUGAUUGCCUUAAUGUGUAUCUUGACAAAUUGUUGCUGCAGACCACAUCGUUAAAUCUGGUUUCUGAAAAAAGCCUACCUAAUUCAAUGACUUCAUAUCCAGAUAUUGUUUCAUCAUCUCAUGACCAAACUGUACACGGUUCAAUGCACAAUCUUUGUGGCACAGAAAAUGGAACGGAUCAUGAGCCUCUUUUCAAUCUUUCAAACCUGAAUUCCAAGAAACCCUGUAGUGGUAACCACUCAGAGCUUGUCAUUCAAGAACUUUCAAAGAGGCAAAUUGCAGUAUCAUGCAUAUCAUCAGUUGAAAUUGGCUUGGACAUUCUCUCCAGGGCGACCAAUGGUAGCAAAUGUGUUGACGCUGGUAGUCACCUUUUGGAAGGGCAAUUAUACUAUAGUAAUUCUCCACUGAGAAAAGAUCAAUUUGUGGAAUUUGCAGUAUUGAACAGGUGGAGAUCAGGGAAUCUCUCAUAUAUGCUUGACAAAAGAACUAUUAGACUGGUCUCAGGUGCUAACUUGAUAUUUUCUGCCCCUAAGGUUCAAUGGCUUCAAGUGUUUGAUCAACUGAAAAUUUCAAUUGGAAAGUUUGGCGAUGAUCUACUUGAAGUAAUUGAGCUCUCCUUAUUGGGGUGUAUAGCAAGCAGAUGGAGUUGUAUAAUAGAAUACUUCAUGUCUGUUUCUUAUGAUGUCCUUAGUAUCUCAAAGCAAUACCAUGAAGUGCACAACUUGCUUCAGGGAAGAUCUCAAUGUCUAUAUCCCAAAGAGGAAAAGAUGGAGUCAAAGGAAAACAGCAUUCUUGAGUAUUUGACAGUGUUACUUAGUAGUCAACUUCACCAGUUAUGGAAGAUAUCCCCGAUCCUUGCAGCAGUUGCAAUUCCUUCCUGGUCACCCUUGUUCAAAUUGUAUUUGAGUGAAAUAGAGUCACAACUGAAAGAAAGUUCUUCCACCAUUAGAUGCUGUACUUGCAUUCAGGAUGGUAAAGAGCACAAAGAAUGUGAACUUGCUGAAAGGAUUUGGUGUCUUCACGUGUUUCACAUUCGUGGUUCACAUCUAAUGUUUCACUCUUGUAAUGAUCAACUGUUUAGAUUCCCAGCAUGUCCUAUGUGAGAAGUCUAGGUGUUUUUGCUUUUUAUUUAAAGGUUCUAUGAUCCAUUAUUAAAACAUUUAUUGACAUUUUGUUCCUCAAUUCUGGCCAGUAAUGUUUCCCUUUGUAUAUGCUAAAUAUUAACUCAUCAUGUUGACUUGAUAUAUGGUUGUUAUUUCUUUAUUUAUUUGGGGUGGGGACUGGGGAGGAGGGGGUUUUGGAGCAUCGUAUUGACCUUUCUCAAAUUCCUAUGCAACCUUCGCCAGCAUUAAGUCAUGAUCCACCAAGCAACUCUGGACUGUGGUCUGCGGGAGAGUUUCGUCCUACUUUUGUCUUUCUUAUACUUCCGCGUGGAGAAUUUUCUUCAAGCAUCUACAAAAGUUGGACGGUCACUAAGAUUAAUAUUGGUAACUUUUUGAUAGCCAAUCGAAAUUUAAAGUUUCUUUCCAAUCACCGUCGAUGUUACUUAACUAGGACAAGUCAUCUUUUAUCCACUCACCAACGUGAAACACCGAGACUGGAAGCCAAACAAUGAAACAAAUUGCAUGGGGUGUAGUACAUUCUCUUCUCACUUCCAGCCAAUGGGAGACUGACAGCCUGUAACAGGUGUGGUACCUCUUAUGUGAUAGUGAUGCCUGAAUAUGACGUCUCAUUGGCCAUUGUCAUUGCGAAGCAAUAUAAACAAUGUUCGCGGAAAUGUCACAAACUCAGCUGAGGGAGGAGCUACUGAUAAGGGUAUCCACUCCAGUAUAGGAAGCAUGAAGAGAACUCAAAUUAUGAGGUGUGGAAAGAGAAUAGUUGCUAAAAUUUCCGUGGUUAUUCUUGUAGCUGCUCGAAGAAGGGCAUCACUGGAUUGGUGGCAUGAAUCAGAUGUAUCGAGGCAAUUAGUUUGCUGGUUCAAGUCACAAUGGAAGCAAGCAAAGAGAUGGCGAAGGGAAGGCUCGCGGUUCAGCUAUGAUAUUCACAGCUAUUCUCAGAACUUUGAUGAUGGCUUUCUUGAUGAUUGUCACUCCCCAUGUGUUCCAUGAUUUACCAAUUCCUUUCUCUUUUUUCAUUAGAUGUAUCAGUCAAUUCGUUUGAAUAUCUACCACUUUGAUGAUGGUUUCCUUGCGGAUUACAAUUUACAACCAGCUUAUCUGAUUAGUUUUUAUCUCUGCAUCUCUAGGAAUGAUGAAAAAAAUUGCAAAUGAGUAGCAUUAUUUUUACAUGGAUAUAUGUAUCAUCUUUUUUCUACUUAUGGAGCAUAAUAGAUGAUCAUAAUUCUUAUUA